rnacentral:rRNA from 1 species
AUGGCUGAUGAGGAUGAGUACCGAUGCUUCGUUGGGAACCUGUCCUGGUCCACAACUGAUGAAAGCCUCAAGGAUGCAUUCUCAAAAUACGGCAAAGUUACCGAGGCAAAGGUGGUCAUGGACAAGUUUUCUGGACGUUCACGUGGAUUUGCCUUUGUGACCUUUGAUGAGAAGAAAGCCAUGGAAGAAGCUAUCGAGGACAUGAAUGGAUUGGACUUGGAAGGGAGGGCCAUCACUGUUGAUAAAGCUCAGCCUCAAGGGGCUGGUAGAGAUCGUAACGGUGACCGUGAUUUUGAUCGUGACCGUGGGUCUCGUGGUGGCCGUGACUAUGGCGGUGGUCGUGCGGCGCGUGGUAGUGGUGGGGACUGCUUCAAGUGUGGCAAACCUGGACACUUUGCUAGAGAGUGCCCAGAUGGUGAUGGCGGGAGAGGUGACCGAUAUGGUGGCAGAGAUGAUAGGUAUGGUGGUGGUAGAUCUGACCGUGACCGUUCUGACCGUGGCGGCGAUCGUUCUGACCGUGACCGUUCUGACCGUGGCGGCGACCGUUCUGAUCGUGACGGUGAUCGAUCUGAGCGUGGCAGUGACCGAUAUUCUAGCCGUAGCCGAGAUGGUGGAAGCGGGGGUGACCGUUACAGUCGUGACCGAUCAGGUCCCUACUGA